rnacentral:lncRNA from 1 species
UUGAACUGUAUAAUAAGCACCAGGACUAGUUGAACUUGCAUGAUAAGAACAAUAUGACUAAUUAAACUUAUUAAGAGCCAUGACUAGUUGGACUUGUAUAACCAGGUAGAUCAGCACUAAGCAUAGUUGAAUUUGUAUAACCAGCAAAAUAUGAACUACCUUGUGAACGAGAUUAAACUAGCAUUAUUAUACGAAGUACUCGCUAUGCAACCGUUCACAUAUGGAGUAUCAAAGGAUCAAUUGAGCAUUACUAUGAACCUGUAACCGGGCAGAUAUGCAUAGAGUAUAGAAUUAG